UACGGGGGGGGCAAGCGUUGUUCGGAAUUACUGGGCGUAAAGGGCUCGUAGGCGGCCAACUAAGUCGGAUGUGAAAUCCCCAGGCUUAACCUGGGAACUGCAUCCGAUACUGGAUGGCUUGAAUCCGGGAGAGGGAUGCAGAAUUCCAGGUAUAGCGGUGAAAUGCGUAGAUAUCUGGAGGAAUACCGGUGGCGAAGGCGGGACUCUGGGCCGAUACUGACGCUGAGGAGCGAAAGCGUGGGGAGCGAACAGG
rnacentral:rRNA from 1 species